rnacentral:rRNA from 1 species
AUUGAACGCUGGCGGCAUGCUUUACACAUGCAAGUCGAACGGCAGCGCGGGCUUCGGCCUGGCGGCGAGUGGCGAACGGGUGAGUAAUGCAUCGGAACGUGCCCAGUAGUGGGGGAUAGCCCGGCGAAAGCCGGAUUAAUACCGCAUACGACCUGAGGGUGUAAGCGGGGGACCGAAAGGCCUUGCGCUAUUGCAGCGGCCGAUGUCGGAUUAGCUAGUUGGUGGGGUAAAGGCUUACCAAGGCGACGAUCCGUAGCUGGUCUGAGAGGACGACCAGCCACACUGGGACUGAGACACGGCCCAGACUCCUACGGGAGGCAGCAGUGGGGAAUUUUGGACAAUGGGGGCAACCCUGAUCCAGCCAUGCCGCGUGCGGGAAGAAGGCCUUCGGGUUGUAAACCGCUUUUGUUCGGGAAGAAAUCCUCUGGGCUAAUACCCCGGGGGGAUGACGGUACCGGAAGAAUAAGCACCGGCUAACUACGUG